UGCAGUGCUCUAUUCAGAUUAGUGCCAGUCAUGUGAAAUACAUAUGACUGGCACCACUCUGGAUAAUGUAAUGCUCA
ensembl:miRNA microRNA 871